UACGUAGGGGGCAAGCGUUGUCCGGAUUUAUUGGGCGUAAAGAGCGCGCAGGCGGUCGUUCAAGUCGAGUGUGAAAGCCCCCGGCUCAACUGGGGAGGGUCACUCGAUACUGAUCGACUCGAAGGCAGGAGAGGGUAGUGGAAUUCCCGGUGUAGUGGUGAAAUGCGUAGAUAUCGGGAGGAACACCAGUGGCGAAGGCGACUACCUGGCCUGUUCUUGACGCUGAGGCGCGAAAGCUAGGGGAGCAAACGGG
rnacentral:rRNA from 1 species